rnacentral:rRNA from 1 species
ACUCCUAUGGGAGGCAGCAGUAGGGGAAUCUUCCACAAUGGGCGAAAGCCUGAUGGAGCAACGCCGCGUGGGUGAAGAAGGUCUUCGGAUCGUAAAACCCUGUUGUUAGAGAAGAAAGUGCGUGAGAGUAACUGUUCACGUUUCGACGGUAUCUAACCAGAAAGCCACGGCUAACUACGUGCCAGCAGCCGCGGUAAUACGUAGGUGGCAAGCGUUAUCCGGAUUUAUUGGGGCGUAAAGGGAACGCAGGCGGUCUUUUAAGUCUGAUGUGAAAGCCUUCGGCUUAACCGGAGUAGUGCAUUGGAAACUGGGAGACUUGAGUGCAGAAGAGGAGAGUGGAACUCCAUGUGUAGCGGUGAAAUGCGUAGAUAUAUGGAAGAACACCAGUGGCGAAAGCGGCUCUCUGGUCUGUAACUGACGCUGAGGUUCGAAAGCGUGGGUAGCAAACAGGAUUAGAUACCCUGGUAGGAUAGCG